rnacentral:rRNA from 1 species
CCUACGGGAGGCAGCAGUGAGGAAUUUUGCGCAAUGGGGGAAACCCUGACGCAGCAACGCCGCGUGAGUGAUGACGGCCUUCGGGUUGUAAAGCUCUGUCGUGUAUGACGAGUAGGGACGGUAAUACACAAGGAAGCCUCGGCUAACUACGUGCCAGCCGCCGCGGUAAU